rnacentral:rRNA from 1 species
GACGAACGCUGGCGGCGUGCUUAACACAUGCAAGUCGAACGGACAGGCGCUGCGUUUGUGGCGCGCUCGAUUGGCGAACGGGUGAGUAAAACGUGAGUAACACGCCCUUAUAUGUGGGAUAACUUCAGGAAACUGGGGCUAAUACCGGGUAGGAGCUCCUGCUGCAUGGGGGGGAUUGGAAAGUGUCGGCUGUUGGGGAUGGAAUAGCGGCUUAUCAGCUUGAUGGUGGGGUAGUGAAUUACCAAGGCUUCGAAGGGUAGCCGGCCUGAGAGGGUGAACGGCCACCUUGGGACUGAGAUACGGCGCAGACUCCUACGGGAGGCAGCAGUGGGGAAUAUUGCACAGUGGGCGGGAGUCUGAGGCAGCGACGUCGCGUGCGUGAUGACGGCCUUCGGGGUGUAAACCGCUUUCGCCUGUGACGAAGCGUGAGUGACGGUAAUGGGUAAAGAAGCACCGGCUAACUACGUG